rnacentral:lncRNA from 1 species
UGCUUUUCGAGUUUGCAUUUCUUUUAUUUGCAUCGGUUUUUUAAUUUGCUUGAUUAUUUGGAUUUUUAUUUUAGAAACCUAAUUCACCCCCCCUCUUAGGUUGCCAUUUUGAUGACCUCGUUGUGAUGUUGUAUUGUUGAUCUGAUUUUUUGCGCUAGCAAAAAUGGCUAAGUCUCAGGUAGUUGUAUUGGACACGGUAAAUGGUUCACAGUGUUUAGACACGGUGAACCAUUCACCGUGUUUGAACACGGUGAAUAGUUCACCGUGUCCAAUGUAUUAUGGACACUCUGGCUUGGACACGUAUAAUACAUUGGACACGGUAAACAGUUCACCGUGUUUAGACACGGUGAACCAUUCAACGUGUCUAAUGUAUUAUGGCCACUCUGGCUUGGGCGCGUAUAAUACAUUGGACACGGUGAACUAUUCACCGUGUUUAGACACGGUGAAUGGUUCACCGUGUUCAGCUUAAUUACCUGGCCCCAGCCCUGCCCACGUGGCGCUGACGUGGCGCUUGCGUGGCAGGGGCAGGGCUAUUUUUGCAAUUUCAAUUUUGAUAGGGAUAAUUUUAAAAUAAAAAUUUCUCAAGGGGCUAUUUGCAAAAAAAUCCCUAAACGAGUGAUUAAACGAGCCAAACACGAGCUAGCUCGUUAAAGUAUCGAGCCGAAAAAUUCAACUCGUGUUUGGCUCGUUAAUAAACAAACCGAACACGAGCUAGCCAACGAACAAUAAGUUAAAAGGAUUAGAUUGAAUAUAUAAAAAAAAUAAAUUUAUAAAAUCUUUAUCCAUUAUACUUUGAUCUAAUAGUUGAAACUUUACAUAUAAAUGAGUCUUUUUAUAAUUAAGCUCGCCUUUAUAUUUUUAUUUUGCUAAAAAUUAAAUAAUAAAAAUAUGUAUUAUAUAUAUAACUAUUUAUUAAUAUAUAUAAAUAUAAAUUAAAUAAAUUAUAUAAAUAUAAAAUAUAUGUAUUCGAGCUGUUAUCGAGCCGAACACGAGCGAGCUAACCUCAGCUCGUGUUCUGCUCGUUUAAUAAAUGAGCCGAAAAAUUCAGCUCGUGUUCUUACUAAACGAGCGAUUCGAUCUCGAGCUCAUUUCGAGCCGAACACGAGCUGGCUNAUAUAUGUAUUCGAGCUGUUAUCGAGCCGAACACGAGCGAGCUAACCUCAGCUCGUGUUCUGCUCGUUUAAUAAAUGAGCCGAAAAAUUCAGCUCGUGUUCUUACUAAAC